CUACGAGACGACGCUGGCGGCGUGCCUAACACAUGCAAGUCGAGCGGGGUCCAUCCGGUAGCAAUACCGGGGAAGACCUAGCGGCGAACGGGUGAGUAACACGUGAGAAACCUGCCCCGAAGUCUGGGAUAACCCGAGGAAACUCGAGCUAAUACCGGAUGUCUUCUUCUGAUCGCAUGGUCGGAUGAAGAAAGAUUUAUCGCUUCGGGAGGGUCUCGCGGCCUAUCAGCUAGUUGGCGGGGUAACGGCCCACCAAGGCGUCGACGGGUAGCUGGUCUGAGAGGACGAUCAGCCACACUGGGACUGAGACACGGCCCAGACUCCUACGGGAGGCAGCAGUGGGGAAUAUUGCGCAAUGGGCGAAAGCCUGACGCAGCAACGCCGCGUGCGGGAUGAAGGCCUUCGGGUUGUAAACCGCUUUCAGUGGGGACGAAUUCAGACGGUACCCACAGAAGAAGCCCCGGCCAACUACGUG
rnacentral:rRNA from 1 species